UUGUAUAUAACAAAGUUAGACUCCUUAGAGGAACGUCCUAUAUAGUGUUGUCAGAGACUGUAUCUAUAUGUAGUCUGCCAUAUUUAGUACCGGUAAUCUUGAAUGACCAGAUAUACUGACUACUGACAGAUAUUGGUAUGUAAUACAUACACCAGACAUAUUCAGAGAACUAUGUUGAGUUAGCCUUGUUCCAUAAACAGGGCUAUACUUUCAUUGUUAUUCUACAUACUACUUCACCUGUAUAUAUAUAUAUCAUCGAUCCAUCCAUAUCAACACUUGAAUGAUGUAAUAAAUGAUGAACCCACAAGUGGCGACUUAUUCUUUAAUAAUGAGUUAAGGACCACUAUU